rnacentral:lncRNA from 1 species
GCGGCGGGGUCAGGGGACACGGGGGGCGCCACCAUCACCGUGUCCCCGUCCCUCGGGGGGUCCCGGCGCUCACCCAGGGCGGUGCCGUCGGCGCUGACGAGCACGCGCGUGACGGGGGCGCGCACGAGCACGGCGCCCCCCGCCCGCUCGAUGACGGGCACGGCGUGGAAGGCGACCUCGCUGGCCCCCCCCCGCGGGUACCAGGCCCCGCGCUGGUAGUGGUGAACCAUCAGCGCGUUCACCAGGAAGCUCGAGUCCCGCGGGGCCGUGCCUGCGGCGACAUGAGGGGACACGGGCACGGCUGGAGCCCGCCGCAGGGCGGGGCAGCCCUCCCGUGUCGCGACAGAGCGCUCCUCACCGCGAUAUCGCCCUCCCUUGUUGCGACAUAGCCCUCCGCUGGCACCACGGUGGUCUCCCAUACCGCGACACAUCCCUCUGCUAUCGCGACACGGCCCUCCCGCAGUGUCACGUGGACUCUCUGUAUCGCGACAUUGCUCUUCCCGCCGCCCCCAUCCCGACACAGCGCUGCCCAUAUCGCGAUGGUGCCACCCCCUAUGGUGACACAACUGCAGUACCGCCCUCCUCCUCCAGCCGGCGCCCUCCCUGUCGCGACAGCCCCUCCCUGUCGCGACGGCCCCUGACCGUAGAAGAGGUAUCCGAAGAGGGCGCGCAGGUCGGGGUUGGAGGUGAGGCGGGCGGCGGCCUGGCUGUGGCUGGUGGCGGCCAUGCGGAACACGGGCGACAGGCGGGGCAGGAGCCCCGAGCGCAGCAGGACGGUGACAAGCCAGCGAGGGGACAGCUUCAGCAGGGCCAGCAGCGCCGCGUGCCGCGAGGCCACCUGCGGGACAGCCACAGUGCCACCGCCACCACCCACAGCAGCUGGGGACAGCCACAGUGCCACCAUCAUCACCCACAGCAGCUGGGGACAGCCACAGUGCCACCGCCGCCACACACAGCAGCUGGGGACAGCCUGAGCGCAGCCACCUGUGUGCCACCAGCAA